GAUGAACGCUGGCGGCGUGCCUAAUACAUGCAAGUCGAGCGAACAGACGAGGAGCUUGCUCCUCUGACGUUAGCGGCGGACGGGUGAGUAACACGUGGAUAACCUACCUAUAAGACUGGGAUAACUUCGGGAAACCGGAGCUAAUACCGGAUAAUAUAUUGAACCGCAUGGUUCAAUAGUGAAAGACGGUUUUGCUGUCACUUAUAGAUGGAUCCGCGCCGCAUUAGCUAGUUGGUAAGGUAACGGCUUACCAAGGCAACGAUGCGUAGCCGACGUGAGAGGGUGAUCGGCCGCACUGGAACUGAGACACGGUCCAGACUCCUACGGGAGGCAGCAGUAGGGAAUCUUCCGCAAUGGGCGAAAGCCUGACGGAGCAACGCCGCGUGAGUGAUGAAGGUCUUCGGAUCGUAAAACUCUGUUAUUAGGGAAGAACAAAUGUGUAAGUAACUAUGCACGUCUUGACGGUACCUAAUCAGAAAGCCACGGCUAACUACGUG
rnacentral:rRNA from 1 species